AGUUCUUUAGUAUAAGUUGAGUAUGUUUGAUUUCCAAUCAAGGGGUUUAAAGAAUUA
rnacentral:tRNA from 1 species